GAAUUUUGCGCGUGGAGCCGAAUUUUUCUUUGUCUUGUGAUUUCUCGGGUGGAAGUAAUUAGCAAAGACAAAGAAAAAGUCCGCUCCACGCGCAAAAUACAUUCAUUU